rnacentral:rRNA from 1 species
AACGAACGCUGGCGGCAUGCCUAACACAUGCAAGUCGAACGAGACCGUCGGGUCUAGUUGCGCACGGGUGCGUAAGCCGUGGGAACCUUCCCUUAGGGUCGGUAUAACUUCCCGAAGGGGGUGCCAAUACCGGAUAAUGUCUACGGACUAAAGAUUUAUCGCCCCAGGAUGGGCCCGCGUUGGCUUAGCUAUUUGGUCGGGUAAAAGCCUACCAAGGCUACGUUCCAUAGCUGGUAUGAGAGUAUGGUCAGCCACACUGGGACUGGGACACGUCCCAAAGGCUUAGGAGAGGCAGCAAGGGGGAAUAAUCGACACUGGGCGAAAGAAUGAGCCUGCCAUGUCGUGUAAGUCAUGAAGGACUUAGGGUUGUAAAGGUGUUUUAAACGGGAUGAUAAUGACAGUACCGGGAGAAUAAGCUACGGCUAACUCCGUG